ACAACCUUACUUGGACAAGGUUUGUUCUAUAGGCUCGUACUGCUGUAUCCUUUAGUUCUAAGGAGACAGAAACCUAAGUCUGGUCGAUGAUCAUGACCAUGUGAUCAGAGC
rnacentral:snoRNA from 1 species